rnacentral:sRNA from 1 species
CAUGUAAUCUGCAUUUGAUCUGGGAAGACCUGAAGGCUUUAGCUGGGCCAGGAGGAGGACCGGGGACCUGUUUGUACUGAGGAGUUAGACCUUUUGCUUGUCCUCACUGUGACAAAAAAUUUCGAACCUCAGGCCAUAGGAAGACUCACAUUGCUUCCCACUUUAAACAUACGGAAUUAAGGAAAA